GUCUAUGGCGAUGCCACCCUGAAUGUGUCCGAUCUUGUCUGAUCUCAGAAACUAAGCAAGAUCGGGCCUGGUUAGCACUUGGGGGGGAGACCACCUUAGAAUACCAGGUGUUGUAGGCG
rnacentral:rRNA from 1 species